rnacentral:rRNA from 1 species
UACGGAGGGGGCGAGCGUUAUUCGGAAUCAUUGGGCGUAAAGGGCGCGUAGGCGGCCCCGUAAGUCUUGGGUGAAAGCCCUCGGCUCAACCGAGGAAUUGCCUUGGAUACUGCGGGGCUCGAGGCUGGAAGAGGGCAGUGGAAUUCCCGGUGUAGCGGUGAAAAUGCGUAGAUAUCGGGGAGGAACACCAGUGGCGAAGGCGGCUGCCUGGGCCAGUUCUGGACGCUG